CAAAAAAAAGUCAAACAAAAUAAAACGAAGGGAGUAUUUAAAUGGCAUUAAACAUCAAUAAAUUUGUUAUUUGAAAAUACAUCAAAUUUAAAAUGAAACGAAAGAAACUAAAUAUUAAAAUUUACUUUUGAAGCUCUAAACUUCUUUUAAAAUUUAUUUGAGUUUUUAAAAAUAGAAUAUAUCUAGUACUGCCUCCGUUUCAAAAUAGUUGGUCCUUUUUUAUUUGAUACUCCCCUUAAGAAAGUAUUUUAUCAAGGGUUUAUUUUGCCAAAUUAACCUUAUUAAUUAUGUUUUGAAAAUAUAAAUUUGAGUAAAUAUACUUUAUUU
rnacentral:lncRNA from 1 species